ACUGCGGCUGCGCCGCUUACCCGCACACAGACGGUUGGCAGAGGAAGAAAGCCUUGUCACACUAAAGGAGAGACAGCGGAUGUUCUGAACAGUCCUGUCGUGAAACGUUAGACAACGUGGACGAAACAGGCACAUUCCUAAGCAUCACACAUUACUGAAACUCAGUCAAGAAGAAAUAGAAAAUCUGAAUACAUCCAUGGCAAGCACAGAAACUGAACUAGGGGAUUCGAAAUCUUCCCACAAAGAAAAGCCUAGGCCCAACUGGCCUCUAUGCAUCCCACUUGAUGAAAAUUCCUGUUAUAAUAAAUUAGCCCCUUGAGGUUCCUGGAAAAGCAUGAAGACUUGAUAUCACCUCCUUCCUCCCACUCUCCAUGUAUACAAACACUCCAAUUGAUACUUUCUCUUAUAUUAUUAUUUAAACUAUUUUCUUUCUGACUCUGCGUUCUAUCUUCUGUCUUGACUUUAUUCACCCAAGAUGACCAAAAAGACAAAGAUUUGAGCUAUGAGGCUCACACCCCUUUAUUAACUGAAGCUGACUUAACCCGAACUAUCUGAAGCUGACUCAACCCGAACUAUCCGAGAUCACACGUAAAUGUUUUCCUUCUGAUCUCAACUUUUCUCCUUAUCGUGGGGCAUGGAAAGGAGGAGAUCGCAGCAGGGAAGUUUUUGUUCUUGUUCACAUGCUAACAAUGGUAAGCUUCUUAAAAGUGAAUCACAGUAGCAUCACAGAGUUUGGACAGGUGAUGUAACUAGGAGCUACGAAAAUUGAGUGCCAUAAAAGAAUCAUCUUUAAAUACUGAAGUGCUUCUGUAUGCUUGAAUUAUACAGCAUUUCCUGUUUCAAAGCAGUUUCACACAAUCUCAUUUAACACUUUUAAAGUCAUAGUAGUUGAACCGAGUAUAUCGCACCCCUGUUACGGCUUUUUCUUGAUUAUAGGACAAAAUGAAAAGAACUUUUAUGAUCUGGCUCCAAUUAUACUUUCAAGGUUCAAGUCUUCCCAUCCGGUAAGAUUUUUCUUCUUUACAAAAUGCCCCAACUGAGGCACUCAUGUACUAGGCACAGGAGACUACCUGUUUGAAAUAUCCCUUGCUUCUGCUGGAAAUGCUGUUCCCACACUGAACUCAUGUGCCAACUCUCAGCUCAAAAGUGCAUGUUUGUCUCUACCAGUGGACUAAGGACCAGCUCCUAGGAUGGGAGCAGUUUCUUACUCAUGUUUAUAAAGUGCUAUGCAGAAAAUAGCAGGGCUAUGGGAAAGAAAGAGACCAGGUUAGAAAAGUCAUUUGAAUCGGAUCUGCAUGAAAAAAGGCACUUUAGAUAAGACCUGAUAGCAAAGGGCUGUAAGAGGAGAAAAGGGCAAAUCAAAGGUACCGACAGAACAUAUUAAGCAUGGCCUAGGCUGAGCAAAGCCAAAUUUAAACAUAAUUUUGUAUGUUGAAGCACAUUAUUUUCCAAUAUGUUAAUGUGUAGCCAUUCUCACAUACAUAAUAAAGCUAAUGGAUUAUUUA